CCUACGGGGGGCAGCAGUGGGGAAUAUUGCACAAUGGGCGAAACCCUGAUGCAGCAACGCCGCGUGAGUGAUGACGGCCUUCGGGUUGUAAAGCUCUGUCUUCAGGGACGAUAAUGACGGUACGUGAGGAGGCAACCAUGGCUAACUACGGGCCAGCAGCCGCGGUAAUACGUAGGUGGCGAGCGUUUGCCGGAUUUACUGGGCGGAAAGGGAGCGUAGGCGGGCUUUUAAGUCAGAUGUGAAAUACUCGGGCUCAACUUGGGUGCUGCAUUUCAAACUGGAUGUCUAGAGUGCAGGAGAGGAGGAUGGAAUUCCUAGUGUAGCGGUGAAAUGCGUAGAGAUUAGGAAGAACACCGGUGGCGAAGGCGAUUCUCUGGGCUGUAACUGACGCUGAGGCUCGAAAGCGUGGGGAGCAAACAGGAUUAGAUACCCGGGUAGUC
rnacentral:rRNA from 1 species